AUAACACCAUGUAGGAGCGCCUGGCUGGCUCCGUUGGUAGAGCAUGCAAGUCUUGAGCUCAGGGUCGUGGGUCGUGAGUUCAAGCCCUACCUUGAGGGUGGAGCCUUCUUAACAACAACAACAACAAAAAAGGUCCAAACACGGAAUUCUAAGUACGAGUCUUUUGAAAAGAGAUCAGCUGCCCAAAGAGCCUUCUUGAAAAUGCAAGGCAACCUCAGCAGAAACAAUCUGGAACUACACAAGAUGCAGAAGCUGACAGCGGCUGGCACGUGACCAAUCUGUUUAUCAAGAGAGCUAGAGUCAGAGUGGCCACGCAGGGUAAUCUCCAAGAAGUUUCCAUGAGAGAAAAAGGCAGCUUUAAGAAUCUACAAAGACCAGAGGAAACCACUGCAAAAUGAUGCUGCUGUCAGUAAAGUCUUACUUUUCUGUCCCCUAUCCCUACCUUUGAUGCUGCCAGAGCAAUCUAGGGAGUAGAAGAGAAGGGUAGAAGUCCUAAGUAGGAUUAUACAGAAGGUGACCAUGCUCCCAUCCUACCAUUAACCCAGUAUAGGCUUCCUAUCUACACGCGUGAAAGAAAAAGAUCUUUAAAUAAAAUUCCAACUUACGACUGUGUGGGACUGUCUAUUUUAAUUACUGAUAGAUUAUUCUUGGGACUAAAAAUGAAUAGAGAUGUUCUUGUUCUUUAACAGUAACUGGAGAAAUGAAUGGAACUGCCCAAGAUUUUAACCAAGGAGUCAGUGCUUAAUGAUUGUACCUACAGAGAUACUCUUGGUUCAACAUCACUGAAUCAUAUGGACUUAGAGGUCAUGUCUAGUCAUGUUUGAAAAAAUACAACUACAGAUACAUAACCAAGUAUUAUAGUCAAAAAGGUAUGUGUUAGUCCCUUUCUUUAACAUCAAUGUGACAAAGCAUUCUACUGUACUUAAUCACUAUUUCAUAUUACUUGAAAACUGAGGGGGG